GAUUAAGCUACCAAGAGCAUACGAUGGAUGCCUAGGCAUCUGGCGCCGAAGAAGGACGUGAUAAGCUGCGAUAAGCUGCGGUUAGUUGCAAAUAAGCGCUUGACCCGCAGAUCUCCGAAUGGGGGAACCCAGCCAUAGGAAACUAUGGUUGUAUGCAAGUGAAUAAAUAGCUUGCAUACGGGAACCCGGGGAACUGAAACAUCUUAGUACCCGGAGGAAAAGAAAGUAAAUUAACGAUUACCUUAGUAGUGGCGAGCGAACGGGUAAGAGCCCAAACCGUAUAUAGCAAUAUGUGCGGGGUAGUGGACUUGUAUACGGGCACUUGACAUAAGUAGCCGAAGCUGUUUGGAAAACAGCGCGAAACAAUGUAAAAGCCAUGUAAGCGAAACCUAUGUCAUAGCUCACAAGUAUCCGGAGUACCACCCAACACGUGGAAUUGGGUGGGAAGCAGGGAGGACCAUCUCCCAAGGCUAAAUACGACCAGAUGACCGAUAGUGAUUAGUACCGUGAGGGAAAGGUGAAAAGCACCCCGGAAGGGGAGUGAAAUAGAACCUGAAAUCGUGUGCUUACAAGCAGAGAACGCACUACGCACUCCGCAAGGGGUGAAUGUGUUAUCUCGUACUUUUUGUAGAACGGGCCGGCGAGUUACGAUGUGUUGCGAGGUUAAGACAUACAGUGUCGGAGCCGCAGCGAAAGCGAGUCUGAAUAGGGCGAUUUUCAGUAGCAUGUCGUAGACCCGAAACCGAGUGACCUACCCAUGAGCAGGCUGAAACAGGAGUAAAAUCCUGCGGAGGGCCGAACGCACCCCUGUUGAAAUAGUGGGCGAUGACUUGUGGUUAGCGGAGAAAUUCUAAAC
rnacentral:rRNA from 1 species